rnacentral:lncRNA from 12 species
UCAGGUUUUUUGCCCUAUUUUCUUUCACUGCAAUUCAUGGUCUGUUACUCCAGCUUUGUCCUAUCACAUGCAACAGAAGAGAAUCAAUUGAAAUAAUCAAAGCAUCUAACAACUGCAUAGGAAGU